GUAACAUAAGGUGUGUGUGUGGCGGGCUGCAUGAAUGCGUUAGUAGGAAAUCGGGGACCUUACCACGAAGAAGCCUGUUUGUCAAACUGGUUUAGGUGUGCAAAACAAAAUGAGGAAUGAUGAACGUGACCAGAGGUGAUGAAGGUGUGUGUUCCAGAUGUACUCAAGUACGGAAGAUAUUCAUAGAGAAGGAGAACCGUGAACCAGUCAACAAACUUUUACCAGUUCACACCGAAUAUAAGAUUCUAACCGAGGGUGGCA